rnacentral:rRNA from 1 species
GACGAACGCUGGCGGCGUGCCUAAUACAUGCAAGUCGAACGGAAAGGCCCUGCCUUUGUUGGGUGCUCGAGUGGCGAACGGGUGAGUAACACGUAAGUAACCUGCCCUUGACUUUGGGAUAACUUCUGGAAACUGGGGCUAAUACCGGAUAGUAGUUCAUGCUGCAUGGUGGGGGUUGGAAAGUUUCGGCGGUUGGGGUAGGACUCGCGGCUUAUCUGCUUGUUGGUGGGGUAGUGGUUUCCCCAGGCCUUGACGGGUAGCCGGCCUGGGAGGGUGACCGGCCACAUUGGUACUGAGGAGCGGGCCGGACUGCUACGUGGGGCAGCAGUGGAGAAUAGUGCGCAAUGGGCGGAGGCCGGAUGCAGCAACGCCGCGUGCUAGAUGACGGCCUUCGGGGUAUAAACCGCGUUCGCCUGGAACGAAGCGUGAGUGACGGUAACUUAUAAGAAAGCACCGGCUAACUACGUG